UCAAACCACUUGCUUAAAGAAAAGAGAAUUUUAUUACAAAAAAGAUCCCGGGGCAGGAGUUAAUCUGACAUACAGGUCUACUGGUUGAGUGACUGAACUGUAGGCCGACAUACAGAGUCUCUCCAUCUAAGAGAAAGUAGUGGUGGCUCCUGCCCCGGGAGGUUUGAACUAAAAACAAUUAUAUGAUGAACAAACAACCGACUAUGAAUGACGAUUCUACUGUAGAAAUGGACUUUGCGGUUCCAUCAUUUGAGAGAAACUGUGAUUCUUCACUGAGAGCGGUGUCAGACGUUCAGGUGCCAGACGUUCAGGUGCCAGACGUUCAGGUGCCAGACGUUCAGAUGCCAGACGUUCAUAUGCCAGACGUUCAGGUGCCAGACGUUCAGGUGCCAGACGUUCAGAUACCAGACGUUCAGGUGCCAGACGUUCAGGUACCAGACGUUCAGGUGCCAGACGUUCAGGUCCCAGACGUUCAGGUACCAGACGUUCAGAUGCCAGACGUUCAGGUGCCAGACGUUCAGAUACCAGACGUUCAGGUGCCAGACGUUCAGAUGCCAGACAUUCAGAUGCCAGAGGUUCAGAUGCCAGACAUUCAGAUGCCAGACGUUCAGGUGCCAGACUUGAAUGAUGAUUUAACUAUAGGAAUGAACUCUGCGGUUCCAUCAGUCGAGAGAAACUAUGAUUCUUUACUAAGAGUGAUAAGAAGUAAGAGAGAUGAGAUAAGAAGAAAGAGAGAAAGAAAGCGCUUAAUGGCCAGAAGAUGGUUUAAAAUGAUGUGUGAUGAAAUCAUCAGUGACAAAACACAGUUAAUUCUGAGGGCCUUUAUGGUGUUUGCUGGGGCCAUCAGCCAUCGAUCGGGUCGUCGGUGGAGAAAACGGAAGGCGUGUCCAUCUGAGAGACUGGAGUAAUCGCCGAUGCGGCAUCAAGAAAUAAGGGUUACAUAGAGUUCUUCACUAGAAGACUCUCGCAUCAUACCGAGCUCUGACCAGAUUUCUCUAAAAUACUCCAAAGAUCCACCGGAUUUUCCAAAAUACCAACUAAUUAUAACUAAUGGAGCAAUUUCCAGAACUGAAUCGUGGGAGAAGAUGAAUGGAGAAUUUAUUAUUAAAAUGAUUGAUUCACACAUCAUUUAUAGAGACUUCUGUAACAGAAAAAAAUCCUUGAAAUAUUUAUAUCAAAUUCAAAAUAUUAUAAAGAACUACAAAUAUUUUUAUUUAGAAGCAAAUCAUAACGACAUUUUUAAUGAAUGUUUCAAUAAUCUCGAUGAAAAAGCAAAAGAAGCAAAGAAAUCAAAAAAACAAUUUGCUUUUGUAUUUUUUAGAAAAAAAGAUGGAUCAUUGGACAAGAGUAGAACAGAAGUUCAUUACCUCUUAAAAGGAGAGCACACUGAAGAUAAAAUAUUUAAACUACUACUAGAAAUGUAUUAUGAAAGUAACUGUGAUUAUUCAGAAAUGUAUAUCUACUCUACAAAUAGCCCAUGUUUAGCAAGACACAACCAUGUGCCCUGCAUGAUCCUGGCUUUUUUUAUAGCAUAUAUGUUACAUGAGAAGCAUGGCAUAAAAACAAUUAUUGGAUAUCUUAAACCCUGGGGCCUGAGUGGCUCGUGUGAGAAAAACCUGCCUUCUUAUUCUAUUAAAGAUUGUAUUUGCACUUCUGCAACACAAACAAUCAGAAGCAAAGAUAUAAUAAUUAGAACUUCUUCCCAAAAAACAAACAAUGAUAGAGAAGAUGACAAUGAACUAUUAAUCGCAGUUUACAGACAAAUUAUUCCAGAAGUUCAAAAUCAAAAGUUUUUAAUGGAAGGUUCUGAAUCCAAACCAGAACUCAAACUUAAGCCAUUUUUUUCAAAAAUAUCCAAUUCUGAAAUUAAGAAACAACUUAAAAAAAUUGUACAAAAUUUCUUCAAAACUCAAAAAUCUGAUGUAUUCAAAACUUCUACUGGUUUCCAUGAAUAUGGUUUAGAAAUGUUUGAGAAAUGUACCAAAGAAAUAUCUGAUCUUUUAAUGGAUGAUUAUGCAAAUAUUAUUGAAGAAAUCUGCAGUUAUCUGAAAGAAGUCUUUCGUUGGUGGGAUAAAACAGUGGAUGAUGGAUCCAGCAGGAUCUUGAAAGAGCAACUCGUUGGCAAACUUCUAAAAAAUUCUCUGCAUCUUUUUCUUUUGGAAAUAAAAAAAAUAGAAAAAAAACUGGGAAGAAUUUUUUUUAAAAUUGGUUAUAUGGUCGAAAAUGAGAAUGUGUGU